AUCCUACGGGAGGCAGCAGUGGGGAAUAUUGCACAAUGGGCGCAAGCCUGAUGCAGCCAUGCCGCGUGUAUGAAGAAGGCCUUCGGGUUGUAAAGUACUUUCAGCAGUGAGGAAGGUGGGUAUGUUAAUAGCAUACUCAUUUGACGUUAGCUGCAGAAGAAGCACCGGCUAACUCCGUGCCAGCAGCCGCGGUAAUACGGAGGGUGCGAGCGUUAAUCGGAAUUACUGGGCGUAAAGCGCAUGCAGGUGGUUUGUUAAGUCAGAUGUGAAAGCCCGGGGCUCAACCUCGGAAUUGCAUUUGAAACUGGCAAACUAGAGUACUGUAGAGGGGGGUAGAAUUUCAGGUGUAGCGGUGAAAUGCGUAGAGAUCUGAAGGAAUACCGGUGGCGAAGGCGGCCCCCUGGACAGAUACUGACACUCAGAUGCGAAAGCGUGGGGAGCAAACAGGAUUAGAUACCCUGGUAG
rnacentral:rRNA from 1 species